GCCGGAUUCGGGAAGUUUCACCGUACUUGUAAUACGGGGGUUGCGGGUUCGAGUCCCGCUGCCGGCC
rnacentral:tRNA from 1 species